CAGCAGCCACGGGAAUACAGAGGGUGCAAGCGUUAAUCGGAAUUACUGGGCGUAAAGCGCGCGUAGGUGGUUUGUUAAGUUGGAUGUGAAAGCCCCGGGCUCAACCUGGGAACUGCAUCCAAAACUGGCAAGCUAGAGUACGGUAGAGGGUGGUGGAAUUUCCUGUGUAGCGGUGAAAUGCGUAGAUAUAGGAAGGAACACCAGUGGCGAAGGCGACCACCUGGACUGAUACUGACACUGAGGUGCGAAAGCGUUGGGAGCAAACAGGAUUAGAUACCCCUGUAGUCCCUGUCUCUUAUAC
rnacentral:rRNA from 1 species